CCUACGGGCGGCAGCAGUGAGGAAUUUUCGUCAAUGGGGGCAACCCUGAACGAGCAACGCCGCGUGCAGGAAGAAGGUUUUCGGAUCGUAAACUGCUUUUCUCUGGGACGAGCAAGGACGGUACCAGAGGAAUCAGCCCCGGCUAACUACGUGCCAGCAGCCGCGGUAAUACGUAGGGGGCGAGCGUUGUCCGGAUUUAUUGGGCGUAAAGGGUCCGCAGGCGGUUGAGUAAGUUUGACGUGACAGUGCCCGGCUUAACUGGGCAAGUGCGUUGGAAACUGCUUGACUUGAGGGCUUCAGAGGGAUGCGGAAUUCCGGGUGGAGUGGUGAAAUGCGUAGAUAUCCGGAGGAACACCAAAGGCGAAGGCAGCAUCCUGGGAAGUCUCUGACGCUCAGGGACGAAAGCUAGGGGAGCGAACGGGAUUAGAUACCCUGGUAGUC
rnacentral:rRNA from 1 species